UACGGAGGUUCCAAGCGUUGUUCGGAAUUACUGGGCGUAAAGGGAGCGCAGGCGGACAAGUCAGUCUAAAGUGAAAUUCCGGGGCUCAACCUCGGACUUGCUUCGGAUACUACUUGUCUUGAGUUCGUGAUAGGAAGACGGAAUUCAGGGUGUAGCGGUGAAAUGCACAGAUAUCCUGAGGAACACCGGUGGCGAAAGCGGUCUUCUGGCGCGAAACUGACGCUGAGGCUCGAAAGCGUGGGUAGCAAACGGGAUUAGAUACCCCCGUAGUCCCUCGAGCGGG
rnacentral:rRNA from 1 species